GGGAAGGAGACAAAGAUUGUACUUUUGAUCAAUCAAAGCUAUAAAAAGUAUUAUGGCCUUACUGAGUUGAGUGAGUUCAGCCUCUCCGUGUGAUGUUAACGACCUUUUGGGUUCAUAAUCUGUGAGAAGACGGCACUUGGCGUCAACCCGUCCGAAUCUUCACUGGCAAGACUCCGGCUUCCAAUGCUCAUACUGAUUCCGGUGCUUCUUGAGUCGGUUAUGUUUCCAUCGAUGCCAGGGGAAGCGUCUGGAUCCUUCUUCCCUUUGUAAACUACGUCGAGCUGACCUCCUUCCACUUCUAUCCCACUGCCUACCUUGCCACUCUCUUCUGCGCUCUCCUGCAGCUGCAAUGCAAACUCUAGAUUCCAGAGAACAUCGC
rnacentral:misc_RNA from 1 species